rnacentral:rRNA from 1 species
CAAUAGCGUAUAUUAAAGUUGUUGCGGUUAAAAAGCUCGUAGUUGAAAGGUGACAGGUCGUAUUUCCUCCGGUCAACAAAACGGUAUCGUAGCUGCCUUUCUCGUUCCUGCGGGUUUCGAGAGAGUGUCAGUUGCGGUAUUGUGGCUGUGAGCGUGAUCGCCUGUAUUGCAUAUUGCACGUGCGAUUACUUGAUUGUGUCGCACGGGCUUUAUGCCUGUUACUUUGAGGAAAUUAGAGUGUUCCAAGCAAUCAUCUGUUGUGCAUAUAGUAGCAUGGAAUAACAUCUCAUAACUUCAGUGUUGGUUGUUGGUUUUCGGUAUUGAAGUGAUGAUGAAUAGAAACUGAUGGGGGCACUCGUACUUGACAGUCAGAGGUGGAAUUCUUGGAUUUGUCAAAGACGAACAACUGCGAAAGCAUUUGCCACGGAUGUUUUCAUUGA